rnacentral:lncRNA from 1 species
GCAACCUUUGAUGUAGUUUCCUUUAAUAAUGACCAGGUACAAAUCAUUUUCUCAUUAUCGCCUUCAACUCAUCCCACGUGUUGAUAGGCCUCUCCCGAUUCAUAUGCCUCGAUGUCAUCACUUAAUCUCACCAAGUGAUCGCAUAAUCAGUAAACUCAAGGACUGCUAAUCUCACCUUCUUUUCCUCAGAGUAAUUGUGACACUCAAAGAUACGCUCCACCUUUUUCUUCCAUUCCAGGUACACCUCCAUGUCACUCUUACCCUUGAAUGGCGAAUGGACAUUUUGAUGUUGUUUAUACCUCCAUCCACGUCAUCUUCAUAGUUAUUUCUACCCCACUGUUCAAACCUAUCACAUCUAUUCCUCAUUCCCCGAUUCAACUCCAUUAAACUCAUCCUCAUCCAGCUCAGCACCAUAUCCAUAUUCAUCUCUCAUCUCCACCAUAGGCUCCCAUCUGCCAUGUCCCCUAUGAAGAUUGGUGACAGAUGUGCUAAGCCUAUCUAUCCUAUCCCCCAUAUCUUUUAACAUAUUUUCAAACCGCAUCAUCAUAUCGUCUAGCAUAUUUGUUCAACCACCAAUCCUGGUUGAGUUCGAUCCUUCACUGCCAAACAUCCUAAGUUCUAAAAUUUUAUUUUUGCCUCACCAAUAUUUCUCUCGGGAAUCACUCAAUUUUCUGCUUUUACCCUCAAUUGAUUUCACCACUCAGCAUUUUACCACUCACUGCUUCCAAUCAACGUUUCAGAAAAAAUUCAAGCUCAAUUUCUUGUGAAAAUUUAAUUGGAUUGUGUGUGAGACUCGUGAAUUUUUUUUAAAGAACUUAAGAAACUGGAUAGAAAUUUGAAAAGAAUUAUGGAAAUUCAAGAAAGUGGUUCUUGAAUUUUUGACUGACUGGAUAGAAAAAUGUGAAACUGGAAGGGCUAUAAAGACAAUUCAAACAAUAACAAUAAGUUUUCCCUUUUUUCAAAAUUUUCAAAUUUUUUUUAUUUUACUUCUGAAUAGUACCGUGAACGGUUAAAUUUUUUUUCCCAACUCACUAAAUGGAAAAUUUGACUACGACGCUAACGAAACAAACAGAAGUGGAUUUGGACGUCAAGUUUGAAUUUUUUUUUGACUUUUUAUGGAUCAAAGACACAACAAGUGAAGAAAAUACAAAGAACACAAAAAGGAAUUGUGGAAAAUAAAAUCAAAAGACUCAACAAGAAAAGAAAAGGAUAUAACCUUUGAUUUUGGUACCUAAACUCUGAUGCCAACUGAUAUAAACCCGGUUAGCA